GAGGCGUGUAAAUUCUCCUACAGUUCGGUUUUAAAGUCUGAUUACAUAUGGAAGAAUUGUCACGAACUAUCAACGGUCAAAUCUUCAAGCUGGGUGUAAUAUUGUUGUCGCGACCGCGGUGCGAUUCAACGAUUUCCUCGACCGUGGAGUAUUUGUCUUGAAAAAGAUUGCCGUUCAAGCUGUUUCUCCGAUGUAUAAGAAGAGUCAUACAUAUUCGUCCAUAUUGCAGUCAACCAACGCUGGCGUCUGGUUGACUUCAACGUUAACCAGUACUAUUGAUUAAAAUGAAAGAAACCGGCUCACAACGAAGAAAGGCAGGAGUUACUAUGUUUACUCUGAGUUCCGUGCAUCUACCAUUGGUCGUUUUUAGGAUUAUGCUCCUGAUAACGAAUGCUGUAUUUUCAAAGAAAACCUAUUUGACUGGUCAACACUUCAAUUUUUUAAUUUUUGAUCAACCACCUUUCGAUACUUAAAAGCGAGGACCGAAUGGCACCUACACUUGGACUGGAUCGGACCGUUAUUUGGUCGAAUGGCUAGCAGCAAAAUUAAACUUUACGUAUUCGUUCGUGCUAAUUAAUCAAACUAUUGCGAAUAUGUACGGGACGCAUGAGGGUUUGUUCUAUCAACUCAUUAAUGAUGAGGGUAUCGAUGACGUGGCGAACUCUUUCUAUUUAACGAUGGAUCGUGAAGCAAGGAUGGACUAUACUUUCCUGACAUGGGGGGAUGGAUUAAGCCUUGUUGUGCCAUGUAUCAAGGAAUGUGAAGAACACUGAGUCCGUCUACCAUUGAUUCAGAAUUAAACAGCCAACCCAAAGAAGUAAGCAAUAUUUAGCAGCAAUGAAGUCUUUUUACUUGAUUUGGAUUUCAUAUGUUCUAUGUGAUGAACAUCAUGACGAAUCAAGGUGAUAAUCAAAUUUUUUUUGCACUUAAGAAAUUUUGGUAUAAUUGGAGGCAUUGGUACUGGACUUGGAUUCUUUACGUUUUUGAUUGAACAGAUUUAUUCAAACUACAAGAAGCACAGACAUCGUUAGUUGGCGUUAAUUAAAAAAAACAAUGCUUCAGUUUGAUGGUAAGCUUGAUAAGUGGAUAAUCCAUUAGUAACUUUUUUUUACAUUUUGAAAGUAAGCUUGAAUG